GACGAACGCUGGCGGCGUGCUUAACACAUGCAAGUCGAACGAAGUGGCGAACGGGUGAGUAACGCGUAAUCAACCUGCACUUCAGAGGGGGACAACAGUUGGAAACGACUGCUAAUACCGCAUACUGAAGGAGGGGAUUGCGUCUGAUUAGCUAGUUGGAGGGGUAACGGCCCAUCAAGGCGAUGAUCAGAAGCCGGUCUGAGAGGAUGAACGGCCACAAUUGGACUGAGACACGGCCCAGACUCCUACGGGAAGCAGCAGUGGGGAAACUUCCGCAAUGGACGAAAGUCUGACGGAGCAAAGCCGCGUGAGUGAUGACAGCCUUCGGGUUGUAAAGCUCUGUUAAUCGGGACGCGGUACCGGAAUAGAAAGCCACGGCUAACUACGUGCCAGCAGCCGCGGUAAUUC
rnacentral:rRNA from 1 species